GACGAACGCUGGCGGCGUGCUUAACACAUGCAAGUCGAACGGUGAAGCCCUUCGGGGUGGAUCAGUUGCGAACGGGUGAGUAACACGUGAGCAACCUGCCCCUGGCUCUGGGACAACCACUGGAAACGGUGGCUAAUACCGGAUACGACCCGCCGCUGCAUCGACUGGGGGUGGAAAGUUUUGCGGCUGGGGAUGGGCUCGCGGCCUAUCAGCUUGUUGGUGAGGUUAAGGCUCACCAAGGCGACGACGGGUAGCCGGCCUGAGAGGGCGACCGGCCACACUGGGACUGAGACACGGCCCAGACUCCUACGGGAGGCAGCAGUGGGGAAUAUUGCACAAUGGGCGAAAGCCUGAUGCAGCGACGCCGCGUGAGGGAUGACGGCCUUCGGGUUGUAAACCUCUUUCAGCUCUGAAGAAGCGAAAGUGACGGUAGGAGCAGAAGAAGCACCGGCUAACUACGUG
rnacentral:rRNA from 1 species